rnacentral:lncRNA from 1 species
CCAGAUUCUGAUGAUGAUUCAGAAGUCAGUGUGGAAGAAGAUCAGAGGGAGAGGCAGGCGCUCUUUGACUUAUCAAGCUGCUCCCUGAGGCCCAAAAGCUUCAAGUGUCAGACUUGUAAAAAGUCAUAUAUAGGGAAGUGGGGACUGGCCCAGCAUUUUAAACUUAAUCCAGGCCAUGGCCAGCUGGACCCUGAGAUGGUGCUAUCUGAGAAAGCCAAUGGGAGCACCCUCCGGGGGUGCACAGAGGAAAGGACGCUCAGCCUGACCUUCCCGGGGCUGUCCGUGCCAGCGGCUCCGCGUGAGGGAGGGGCCCGCUCCUGCUUGGUGAGAGAGUCAGCACGCGGUGGCCUGCAGGGUUAUAGAGUGGAAAGUCCCACAAUCUUUUUCUUCUCUAUUUUCAGAAAAACGUUGACCUCUUGGCGAGAAUGCAAAGAAGGGAACGCUUGCUUAUACGCUGUUGGUGAACUGUCACCCCUACAACUCAGCUUGCAACCAGCCCUGGCCACCAGUUUCCCCACACUGAGCUGAAUAUCGGACAUGCCCAUCUCAGACAUUCCAGCCCAUUCUGAAAUUCCACAUCGAUUCACCUGACAAAGUCUGAAGUUCCAGGGCAAUUUAUCUGGAAAAGCUUACCUGGAAUCACGUGUCAUUUCAACCAACAACUGUUGAAGAGGACGUGGCAUUAAAACCAAGGGUAUCAAUUAUUUAUAA